GACGAACCGUGCAAACGUUGUUCGGAAUCACUGGGCUUAAAGGGCGCGUAGGCGGCCAACCAAGUCAGAGGUGAAAUCCUGCAGCUUAACUGUAGAAGUGCCUUUGAUACUAGUUGGCUCGAGGGAGGUAGGGGUAUGUGGAACUUCUGGUGGAGCGGUGAAAUGCGUUGAUAUCAGAAGGAACGCCGGUGGCGAAAGCGACGUACUGGACCUCUUCUGACGCUGAGACGCGAAAGCUAGGGGAGCAAACGGG
rnacentral:rRNA from 1 species